rnacentral:lncRNA from 1 species
AUGAAAGGUAACUGUGCAAUUAUUGGAAACACACUUUCACAGCAAAAGCGGAUCUUGUUACAGCACAGAGCUAGGUCUUCGUCUUCCUACCUUUAGUUUCGAUGGUGAGAUUGAUGUUUACUUUCAUCUGGUUUUCAUUUGAAAAAUCCCAUCUGUGCUGAGCCUGAAAGAAUUGUAAAAAUACUAAAGUUACAAGCAUUUAAGUAAGGUGAACAGAAUUUCCUGGGUUUACUUUGCUAAAAUGAUGUUUAAAGAAGAUUUGGGUGAUGUAGGCUAUGAGACCACUAUAAUAUAGCUGCUACAACUAAUUAUGUGUCUGAGAUGAGAUGCAAAGCAAAGCUUCAAACCCAGAGGGGAGGGGAAGAAUAUCCUGGCAGCACUAUGCACUUACAUUAAGUAUGGACAUUUUCUAAAGUGAAUGCAUUAUACUUUAAUUAUGCAAAACUCUGGAUAAUAGCAUAUUUGUCUGCCAUCAUAUAGUGUAAUCCAAACACUUAUUGCUACACACGUAAGAGAUGGAAAUGAUAGAAUGGAGGAAAGAAUGUUUCUAUAUUUCAAAGGAACUAAAAAUGAAUAUAAAAUAAACCAGAAAGUUUCUCUUUUAUAUAUCACUCACAAAGGAUCAGGUUUGUUAUGAGAAAACAGUAAGUAGCUUAGGUACUCUGGCAUCAGCACAUAAAGUGUGUCUCAAAAGAGGAGAUAUGAAAGAAGUCAAAAUGUCAAUACAUUAGAUAUGAAUAUUUUAAAAGAUAUCUUGGGACUAGGCAUUAUAGAAGUAAAGUUGAGUGUUUGGGUCAAACAUGACUUCUAGGCAGGUUGUCCACAGUAUUAUCUCCACAAUUCUACCCCAGAUAUAUUAUUAAUAUUAAUGAAAAGAAUUCAGGCUAGACAUUUGAAGAAAUUAUUUGGGUAUCUCUAAGGUGCUCACUUUAGGAUUCAAAGGCGGCAGCAACUAAUCACCUGGGCUUUGUCUCACUUUGGGUGACUCUUCAUCGAAUG